GGAGAGCCUUGGCAUGGAGGAAAACCACAAGAGAGACCACUGGGUCCUGCUGAACCCAGGAGAGGACAACGAACUGGAGGCGUUUGGCUACCAGACCCAGACUCUGCGGAGAGCCCUUUGCCUGCUGGGCUCCGUCCUGUCCUGCGGCAUUCUGAGGCUUCUUUUCUACUGGCGUCCACAGUGGAAUGUGUGGGCACACUGUGUGCCCUGUCCCUUGCAAGAAGCUGACGUUGUUUUGCUUCGGACAACGGAUGAAUUUCAGAAAUACACAAGGAAGAAAGUGUUCUGCCUGUAUUUGUCUGUACUGAAGAACCCCAUAAACCCCAAAUCAGGAGACAUUGUUGCUGACCGUCAUUCGGUCAUAAAUAGAGCCGUCCUGAAGCCAGAGCUAAAAGUGCGAUGUAUCCAGGUGCAGAAAAUCAGGUACGUCUGGGACAACGUGGAGGAACGAUUCCAGAAAGUCGGGCUUCUGGAAGACAGUAACUCCUGCUCCGACAUCCACAACACGUUUGGAUCUGGCCUGGGGAAGGAAGAGCAAGAGAUCAGGAGGCUCAUCUGUGGCCUGAAUACCAUUGAGGUUGAGAUUCAGCCUGUCUGGAAACUCCUUGUUAAACAGGUUUUGAAUCCAUUUUACGUGUUCCAAGCCUUUACUCUGACUCUGUGGCUGUCUCAAGGUUAUAUCGAAUACUCCAUAGCUAUCAUCAUUCUGACCGUCAUCUCCAUUGUCUUAAGUGUCUAUAAUCUCUGGCAGCAAUCAGUCAAUCUGCACAACCUCGUGGAAGACCACAACAAGAUCCAGACCACAAUACACACCAAGGAGGAGGGUCUGCAGGAGCUCGAGUCCCAUCUCUUGGUGCCUGGAGAUAUCCUUGUUCUGCCUGGGAAGUUUUCCUUACCAUGCGAUGCUGUCCUGAUUGAUGGAAGCUGCAUUGUCAAUGAGGGCAUGUUGACAGGGGAAAGCAUUCCGGUCACGAAGACCCGGCUGCCCCACAUGGAGAGCACCACGCCUUGGAAGUCUCACAGCCUAGAGGAUUACCGGCGACAUGUCCUGUUCUGUGGGACCGAGGUCAUUCAGACCAAGCCAGCAGGGCCAGGCCCCGUCAGGGCUGUUGUCCUGCAUACAGGUUUCAACACUGCCAAAGGUGACUUGGUGAGAUCCAUCCUUUACCCAAGGCCCCUCAACUUCCAGCUCUACAAUGAUGCCUUCAAGUUUAUCGUCUUUCUUGCUUUCCUGGGGGUUGUAGGCUUCUUCUAUGCCUUCGGUGUAUACAUGUACCAUGGAACUUCUGCAAGAGACACCGUGACGAUGUCUUUGCUCCUUCUCACUGUCUCAGUGCCUCCAGUGUUACCAGCAGCCUUGACCACAGGAAUUUUUUAUGCUCAGAAGAGGCUGAAGAAGAAGAAAAUUUUUUGCAUCUCUCCACAGAGAAUCAAUAUGUGUGGCCAAAUCAACCUUGUUUGUUUUGACAAAACAGGCACGCUGACAGAAGAUGGCCUUGAUCUAUGGGGGGCUGUCCCUGUGAUGGGAAACUGUUUCCAGGAGGUCCACAGCUUCACCUCUGGCUGUGCUCUGCCCUGGGGCCCGCUUUGUGGAGCCAUGGCCAGCUGUCACUCCCUCAUCGUUUUGGACGGGACCAUCCAAGGAGACCCUCUGGACGUCAAGAUGUUUGAAGGCACCAGCUGGAUCAUUGAGGAUUCCUCUGUGGAUUACAGUGACUCUGGAAUACCAGCUUCCAGCACAAUCAUUAAGCCAGGCCCUCAAGCAAGCCAAACUCCAGCAAAAGCAGUCGCCAUUUUGCAUCAGUUUCCGUUUUCUUCGGGCCUGCAGAGAAUGUCAGUUAUUACCCAGCAGAUCGGCAAAGACCACUUCGACGCAUACAUGAAGGGAGCCCCAGAAAUGGUGGCCAGGUUUUGCAGACCAGAAACAGUGCCCCCAAAUUUUAAGGAGGCGCUGAAGCUUUACACCAUGCAAGGUUUCCGGGUCAUUGGCCUUGCUCACAAACCUCUAAAGGCAGGGAAGCAGCCAGAGAUGGGCAUUCAUACCAGGGAGGAAGUCGAGUCAGAGUUAACAUUUCUAGGCCUUCUGAUCAUGGAAAAUCGCUUGAAAAAAGAGACCAAGCCAGUCUUGAGAGAGCUGAGCAGUGCUCGCAUCCGGACGGUCAUGAUCACAGGGGAUAACCUUCAGACAGCCAUCACAGUCGCGAAAAAUUCUGAAAUGAUUCCUCAAGGAAACAAGGUGAUCCUCAUUGAGGCCAAUGAACCAGAAGGAUUCUCUCCUGCAUCUGUGACCUGGCAGCUGUUAGAGGACAAAGUGGAUGGUCACAGAAAUAAGGCGCGCCUGUCUGAGAGCCUGGUCCACUGUAAGGAGACCUGCCUUUCCAUCCAAGAUGGCUCCUUCCAUGAAGGGAGGCCAGGGGACGAUUACCACUUCGCCAUGAGUGGGAAAUCUUACCGAGUGAUCACCCAGCAUUUCAGCAAUUUGCUUCCCAAAAUCCUGGUGAAUGGAGCCAUUUUUGCCAGGAUGUCUCCCGGGCAGAAAUCAAGCCUUGUGGAAGAAUUCCAGAAAUUAAAUUACUAUGUCGGCAUGUGUGGUGAUGGAGCGAAUGACUGUGGGGCUUUGAAAAUGGCUCAUGCUGGCAUCUCACUGUCUGAGCAGGAGGCAUCUGUGGCUUCCCCCUUCACCUCAAAAACAGCCAAUAUAGAAUGUGUGCCACACCUGAUCAGGGAAGGACGAGCUGCUUUGGUUUCUUCCUUCGGAGUGUUUAAAUACCUAACCAUGUAUGGAGUAAUUCAGCUCAUUGGCACAUCUCUGCUUUAUUGGCAGUUGCAACUUUUUGGGAACUACCAGUACCUCAUGCAGGACGUGGCCAUCACCCUGAUGGUGUGUCUAACAAUGAGCUCCACUCACGCAUACCCAAAGCUGGCUCCGUACCGACCUGCUGGACAGCUCAUCUCGCCCCCCCUGCUGCUCUCUGUCUUUCUGAAUGCCUGUUUUUCGGGCAUUGUGCAGAUAUGGGCUUUCCUUUUUGUGAAGCAGCAGCCUUGGUACUGUGAGGUACAACGGUACAGCCAGUGCUUCUUGGCCAACCGAAGUGAUUCCUUCUCUGAUGCCAGUGUGGAUGGAAACUUGACGAUGGGGAAUGGGACUCUGACUUCGAAUUCCGUCCUGAGUUUUGAGAGUACCACACUGUGGCCCAUUACAACCCUCAACUGCAUCACUGUGGCCUUCAUCUUCUCAAAGGGGAAGCCAUUCCGAAAGCCUGUCUACACCAACUGGACCUCUGUGAUUAACCAAUCACUUGUGCUGACAGCUGUAUUAAGGAGGCCCGCCCAGGAAGCCAUCCGCCAAGACGACCCACGUGUGUCGUCCCCUCCAACAACAGGCACAACUUUGAUUUGAUGGAAUGGAAAUCAGUAAUGAUGAUUGGCUGCCGUAGAAGCACGCACGGUUCAUUUCAAUUGUGGCAGAAUAUGUACCGGGGAAGAGCGAGGCUCCUGGGGUCUGAAUGAAUGCGAGUUCCAAGUCCUAGCAGCCUGGCAUCAGCAGUGUCCUAGAAGUCCAGGGGCGCUCAGGUCUUUCCCAGCUUCCUUUGGGGGAGACCAUUGAUAAUGGGAGACCCUGUCUGUCUGCUCCACACAGUUGUAGACAAGAAGAAUGGAAAGGCUUCCUUCCACACCACGUUGUAAGAAAGGGGCUCAAGGGCUAUUCGGGGACUCAUGGACUCGCUGCCUGCCUAGUUUCUCCCCCUGCGGGUUGGGUCCUCAGGAAGGCUUUUAAAAUAGCAAUUCUAGAGUUCCACCAAUAGAUGGCGAUGAAGGUUGCACAACCUUCUGCAGGUUUGAUGCCACUAUAGCUUCAAAGUUCUAGACACGAAAGGACCCUCAGAGACCGUCUAGUCCAGCCCCUACACUUUACAUAUGAGGAAACUGAGGCACAAGGAGUUGUCCAAGGUCAGACAAUUUGAAAGUGGAAGAACCGGGACUAGGCUACGCAAGAUACAAUUUCUGCUAAUUCUAGGUUAGGACAUGUUGGCAUACACUUUUCGCAAUGAUUAAAAGGAAGAAUCUACAUUGAUUUUAGUGGAGAAAUGCUGAAAGUUGAGAAAUGACAAAAACACUGUGCUAAGAUACUAGAGCUAACAGACGUUAAGAGGAGAAUGGUGUGUCUGGAGAAGGGCUGCAAGUGCAUGCCACCUGAGGGUCACAGCUCCACAGUCUCUGUCGCUGGAUCUUCAACCAUAUCAUGCCCCCCAACUAUCUCUUUUCAUUCCUGCUGUUUGCUGCCCUUGGUGUGACUCUUUUCAUUACAUUUGCUGACAUUCCAGUGAUAUACAGUGGAA